rnacentral:rRNA from 1 species
AUUUUCCGCAAUGGGCGAAAGCCUGACGGAGCAACGCCGCGUGAGGGAUGAAGGCCUCUGGGCUGUAAACCUCUUUUAUCAAGGAAGAAGAUCUGACGGUACUUGAUGAAUAAGCCACGGCUAAUUCCGUGCCAGCAGCCGCGGUAAUACGGGAGUGGCAAGCGUUAUCCGGAAUUAUUGGGCGUAAAGCGUCCGCAGGCGGCCUUGUAAGUCUGUUGUUAAAGCGUGGAGCUUAACUCCAUUUCGGCAGUGGAAACUGACAGACUAGAGUGUGGUAGGGGCAGAGGGAAUUCCCGGUGUAGCGGUGAAAUGCGUAGAUAUCGGGAAGAACACCAGUGGCGAAGGCGCUCUGCUGGGCCAUAACUGACGCUCAUGGACGAAAGCCAGGGGAGCGAAAGGGAUUAGAUACCCCUGUAGUC